rnacentral:rRNA from 1 species
GAUGAACGCUGGCGGCGUGCUUAACACAUGCAAGUCGAACGGAAAGGCUCCUGCUUGCAGGGGUACUCGAGUGGCGAACGGGUGAGUAACACGUGGGUGAUCUGCCCUGCACUUCGGGAUAAGCUUGGGAAACUGGGUCUAAUACCGGAUAGGACCGCAUUUUGGAUGGUGUGGUGGAAAGUUUUUUCGGUGUGGGAUGAGCUCGCGGCCUAUCAGCUUGUUGGUGGGGUAAUGGCCUACCAAGGCGUCGACGGGUAGCCGGCCUGAGAGGGUGUAAGGCCACAUUGGGACUGAGAUACGGCCCAGACUCCUACGGGAGGCAGCAGUGGGGAAUAUUGCACAAUGGGCGCAAGCCUGAUGCAGCGACGCCGCGUGGGGGAUGACGGCCUUCGGGUUGUAAACUCCUUUCGCUAGGGACGAAGAGUAAUUGACGGUACCUGGAGAAGAAGCACCGGCUAACUACGUG